rnacentral:rRNA from 1 species
GACGAACGCUGGCGGCGUGCUUAACACAUGCAAGUCGAACGAUGAAGCCGGAGCUUGCUCUGGUGGAUUAGUGGCGAACGGGUGAGUAACACGUGAGUAACCUGCCCUUGACUCUGGGAUAAGCGUUGGAAACGACGUCUAAUACCGGAUACGAGCUAGGAACGCAUGGUCACUAGCUGGAAAGAACUUCGGUCAAGGAUGGAAUCGCGGCCUAUCAGCUAGUUGGUGAGGUAACGGCUCACCAAGGCGUGGACGGGUGGCCGGCCUGAGAGGGUGACCGGCCACACUGGGACUGAGACACGGCCCAGACUCCUACGGGAGGCAGCAGUGGGGAAUAUUGAACAAUGGGCGCAAGCCUGAUGCAGCAACGCCGCGUGAGGGACGACGGCCUUCGGGUUGUAAACCUCUUUUAGCAGGGAAGAAGCGCAAGUGACGGUACCUGCAGAAAAAGCACCGGCUAACUACGUGCCAGCAGCCGCGGUAACAC